GAUGAAGAACGUAGCGAAAUGCGAUAAGUAAUGUGAAUUGCAGAAUUCAGUGAAUCAUCGAAUCUUUGAACGCACAUUGCGCCCGCCAGUAUUCUGGCGGGCAUGCCUGUUCGAGCGUCAUUACAACCCUCAGGCCCCCGGGCCUGGCGUUGGGGAUCGGCGGAAGCCCCCUGCGGGCACAACGCCGUCCCCCAAAUACAGUGGCGGUCCCGCCGCAGCUUCCAUUGCGUAGUAGCUAACACCUCGCAACUGGAGAGCGGCGCGGCCACGCCGUAAAACACCCAACUUCUGAAUGUUGACCUCGAAUCAGGUAGGAAUACCCGCUGAACUUAAGCAUAUAAAUAAGCGGAGGA
rnacentral:misc_RNA from 1 species